GAUACUUUUGCGACCUUGUUGGUCAGAUAAGACUCGCUUUACUAUUCUUACCACCUUCGACAAUGACCCAAUUGAAUAUUUCUCCAAAAUUCAAUUCUAUGGAAAAAGGAUAUUUUCGUGGAUGCCAUUAUUUUAUUGCAGCUACUGUUCGCACAGAUGAAGAAUAACAAAACAUUGGACCUUAUUUUUAUUACAAUAGUUGAAGAAAACAAAGUAGAAGAACUUGAUCUGCUAAGCAGUGAAUUUGAUUAGCUGAGGUGAUUUACAAAAAGGUAAAUUUAAUUUACGAAAGGAUAAAUUCGAUUUCAGAAGAGAUAUAAAUUUUUUUGAUUUAGAAGAAGAUGAAUAUAAUUUGCAAAGAUAACCAUAGAUGGCAAAAAGAUGAAUAUAAUUUGCAAAAGGUUUGAUGUUGUCUGCAAAGAGAUGUAUUACAGGGAAAGAAUGUCAAUUAUUGUGCCCAUUAAAGUGAUGUCCGAAGUUUUCAACGAAUCAAAUAAUUUUAUUUACCUAUAUUGCAAUUCUUAAAACAUUUAAAUUAUAUGUUGAUGUCUCUUA